UCUUUAUCAACCGGAAUUGGUAACACUUAGCUGUGUAUUAAAAGGGAAUCGUGUGUAAAUCACGAACUGUCGCGCAACUGUAAGUAACACUCAAAAGGUUUUUAUCACAUAAGGUCCACUGUUCGCUCUUGUGAAUGGGAAGGACGAUAAAAAUCGUUACAAGUCAGGAGACCUGCCUAUUUCGAAUUGACGAU
rnacentral:ncRNA from 2 species